rnacentral:misc_RNA from 1 species
GCUCCAUUUCUUCUUCUUCUGCUUGCCUCCCCCAGACUUUGUGGGCUUUGAUGACGGUGGGGGAGCUUUGUCCUUCUUCGGUGCCAUAGGAUAUCUCCAAGGCUCUUGUUUGCGCUUAUGAAGUAGAUAAAAGCAGGCGGUUAUGGAGGAAAACGAUAAAGAGUUGCUCGCAGAGGAUUAUAUAGGUGCGUGUCUGCUGACUCGCUAGGGUUACGUUAAGGCCCUAGAAUUG